AGGGACAGCCUGGCGGGCAGCUAACACAUGCAAGUCGAACGGUAACAGGAUGUGCUUGCACAUCGCUGACGAGUGGCGGACGGGUGAGUAAUGCUUGGGAACUUGCCUUUGCGAGGGGGAUAACAGUUGGAAACGACUGCUAAUACCGCAUAAUGUUUUCGAACCAAACGGGGCUUCGGCUCCGGCGCAAAGAGAGGCCCAAGUGAGAUUAGCUAGUUGGUAAGGUAACGGCUUACCAAGGCGACGAUCUCUAGCUGUUCUGAGAGGAAGAUCAGCCACACUGGGACUGAGACACGGCCCAGACUCCUACGGGAGGCAGCAGUGGGGAAUAUUGCACAAUGGGGGAAACCCUGAUGCAGCCAUGCCGCGUGUGUGAAGAAGGCCUUCGGGUCGUAAAGCACUUUCAGUUGUGAGGAAAAGUUAGUAGUUAAUACCUGCUAGCCGUGACGUUAACAACAGAAGAAGCACCGGCUAACUCCGUGCCAGCAGCCGCGGUAAUACGGAGGGUGCGAGCGUUAAUCGGAAUUACUGGGCGUAAAGCGCACGCAGGCGGUUUGUUAAGCUAGAUGUGAAAGCCCCGGGCUCAACCUGGGAUGGUCAUUUAGAACUGGCAGACUAGAGUCUUGGAGAGGGGAGUGGAAUUCCAGGUGUAGCGGUGAAAUGCGUAGAUAUCUGGAGGAACAUCAGUGGCGAAGGCGACUCCCUGGCCAAAGACUGACGCUCAUGUGCGAAAGUGUGGGUAGCGAACAGGAUUAGAUACCCUGGUAGUCCACACCGUAAACGCUGUCUACUAGCUGUGUGUGCCUUUAAGGCGUGCGUAGCGAAGCUAACGCGCUAAGUAGACCGCCUGGGGGAGUACGGCCGCAAGGUUAAAACUCAAA
rnacentral:rRNA from 1 species